rnacentral:misc_RNA from 1 species
AGUCGUAACAAGGUCUCCGUAGGUGAACCUGCGGAGGGAUCAUUAACGCUCUCUCUCAUCAUAAUUAAAAUCAAAAGGUUUUCUAUUCUCUCUUCAGUCUAUAUAGAAAUAUAUAGACUGUUGUUGGGAAUAGGAAGCUGAACGCCUUUACACAUAUAUAUGGGUUUCAUACACAUAUAUAUGUGUGUGCGCUUAGAGUACGCGCUUGCGCGUAUUCUAGUGUUAAAGUACUCCUACUUAUAUACUUAACUACCAAUCUUACUAUUUUCAAAACCAAAGUACUUGAUUGACUUGAGUGUGCGUGUGUAUGUCAUGUACACGCACACUGGCGUCAAUUAAGUACAACAAAAAACCAAAAUAAUAAUAAUAACAACUCCUAACAACGGAUAUCUUGGUUCUCGCGAGGAUGAAGAACGCAGC